AGCACACACGGAGCAGAACAGCAUGUACAAUUUCAUAUUUCUCACACUAACCAACUUCAUAACUUUGCCAGUGCUUUCGCUGUUUUUUCAGCUCCUUUUAUGUGUUCAAUCUAGAGUAUCAGGAGUCAGCAUCCACAACGCUGGAGAUGGUACAGAGAUUCUUUUUAAGGAUCAACCCUGAAGAGGGCAGCAAGUGCAAGGCCAAAGUUGGCACAAGUCGAAAGACAGGAGGUGUUGUGAAGAGAAAGGUGACUGCCAUCAACUCCCAGCAGGAAGGAAUUGCUGCCACCUGACGCCAAUGAUCGGUUGUAUAUCUGCUGUGAUUGGAGGAGAAGAAGCUUUGUGGGCAAAAGCAGCACUAUUCCUCAGUUCAGUUAUUUGUUUGUAAACUUUUGUUGUAUUGUUCUUUACCAUACAAAUUUAUAUUGUAGUUUCUUUGGGAUUAGUAGAGAGGUGGGUGCCAUUUCCUUUUGAUUUA